UUCUAAUUUCUCAACAUCCUUGUCAACAUUUAUUGUUGUCUUUUUUAUCAUAGCCAUUCUAUUCUACAAGAAAUAUAUAUGUCCUUUAUUGGAUAGGAUUUUGGAGAACGGGAAGAAAUUUGUCUCAAAACAGAAACAAACUGACAUGGCUCUGUUUUUCUCUGGGGCAUCCAAGUCUCUAUGAACAAGUUAGAGCAAGUCAUUACCCCACUCCCACAGCCAGGCAAGGCCUGAUGCAGUGAAGUCUGAUGCCCAGGAAUGAAGAGCAGCUGAAACCCAGAGCCACGAGAAUUGAGCAGAAGCUAGAGACAGGCUGGUAGCUGGAGAGGUGCUCAUAGACACAGAGGAGGACUGUAAGUCUGGCUGUGCAAAAGGUAUUUCAUUCCAUCAGUCAGUCCUUACUGGGCACCAACUAUUGGCCAGGCCCUGUUUUAGGUGUUGGGGACACAGCAUUGCAUGAGACAGUCUCCGUCCCCAUGGCUCUGCGUUCUGAUGGUGAAGGACAGAACAUCAAGCAACACGGUAACAGCUGGGAUUAUGACAGCUACAGAGGAAAUAACCAGGAAGCUGUGAUGGACAUGGAGGGCAGUACUUUAGAUAGGCUGUCUUGGAGAAAGGAAUGGAAGGGAGGCUGACCACCAUAGGGUUGUCAAAGCCCCGUGUAGAGACAGAGCCCAGAGGAGGGUGCUGGAUCAGGAAACACUGGCCACUCUCCUGAAUCAGCAUGUGGCCUCUGAUAC